rnacentral:rRNA from 1 species
UACAGAGGUGGCAAGCGUUGUUCGGAAUUACUGGGCGUAAAGGGCGCGUAGGCGGUCUUGUAAGUCUUGUGUGAAAUCCCUCGGCUUAACUGAGGAACUGCACGGGAUACUGCAUGACUUGAGAUCGGGAGAGGGAAGCGGAAUUCCCGGUGUAGCGGUGAAAUGCGCAGAUAUCGGGAAGAACACCCGUGGCGAAGGCGGUUCUCUGGGACGGUACUGACGCUGAGGCGCGAAAGCGUGGGGAGCAAACAGG